GCGAGCGGCCGCCAUUCCGCAGCCAACCGCCAUCACCGUGGCAAGGCCGGCAGGACGCGCAAUGCUGCCUGUCCUGCUGAUCCUCUCAGGCCUGGGCCGGCUGACCUCCGCCGGCCAUCGUGAGUGUAGGACCUGCUCCGUAGAGGGUCACCUGUCGCAGAGCCUGUGGGCGUGGCGGGCUCCAGAAGCUUGCUCCAGAACCCUGUGCCCGGCUGGGGGGAGCCCUGCGUCCUGUCAGAGCCCGCCUAGAGUCAGGAUCCUGCGGGGCCUGCUGCUGGGAGGGCUCAGAACAGUACUGGGACAGUUGUCCUCACGUGCCUGACCCUGCACUUGGAGGAGGGGGCGAGCAGCUUCUGGGAGGUGGGGCCUCCAGAGCAGCUCUUCUUCACCUAUUGGGGCUGAGAUCCUGAAACGUCACUUCUACAAAUUACAGUGCCACGGAAGACUGGGGCAAACACUGAUGAUGGCAAAGUUUCUUAAAUAUUUCAAAGAAGGAAAGGAGGUUCAGAAGUGGAAAAUGACUCACAUGGGGCUGCUUGAUAGGUGCCAGAAUUGAGAUUCAAACACGCUCCAUUUGGCACCACAACCUGAGCUUUUUGCUGUACAGUGCACUGCUCCCUACCUUUUUUAUCCUCUGCUCCUCUCUGUAUGAGAGCUGAAAUAAUAAGGCAGAGUGUCAUCUGUUCAACUUCAGAUGAAAAUGUGAACCUUGGUGUGACUUUUUUUUUUUACCUUGAGCAUGAAUUCAAAUGACCAAGAGAGAUCUAUAAAUAUUGAUUUGGGGUUAUAAACCCUAGCAAGUAGGCAAAUUUACAAAUAUGGAAUA